AGGUUGCAAGGAGCUGAGACGGCACCACUACACUCCAGCCUGGGCAAUAGAGUGAGACUUUGUCUCAAAACAAAACAAAAGAAAAACAGCAAGCUGCUUCAAUUAGGAUGGGUAGUUGGAGAUGAUGUUGAAGACUUCCAGGAGAUUAGGGUCUUGCUCUGUCUCCCAAGCUGACGUGCACUGCUGGAAUCUCAGGUCACUGCAGCCUCGACUUCCUGGGCUGAAACAAUCCUCCCACCUCAGCCUACUGCAGAGCUGGGACUACAGGCACAUACUACCACACCAAGCUAGUUUUAUUUUUAUUUUUUGUAGCAAUGGGGCCUCAGUAUGUGGCCCAGACUGGUCUUGAACUCUUGGCCUCAAGCAAUCCUUGUGUCUCAGCUUCCUCAAGUGCUGGGAUGACAGGCAUUUGAGCCACCAUGUCCAGCCUUUACCUAACUUUUGAGUUAAACACUCUGGGAGAACACAAACAUGGAAAUGGAUGAGAAAAGAGAACAUGAUGGGAGAAAUCAGAGCUGAGCUCGGGCCUUGGAAAGUGCACGAGUGAUUUUGUUCCAGAACGUGCCACGCAAUUUUCAUCUGACCUAAACAUGUCUCAUUAUGUGAAAAUAAAAUCUGCAUUAUGAUAUGAUCUCCUUCCUAAUCACAUGAAAGAUUUUACCACAUAGAUGGUUUUCUCUGUGCUUAGUGGAAGAUUGAGAUAAUCAGUUAAAGCAAUAAAACAGAGAAGGCACAGCCUCACUUGAUCCUGCUAAGAGUGGGAAUCCAGCAAAUCGAGCUGCGAUAGGAAAGGUGCAGACACGGGCUGCGAAGGGAGCAGGAGGACUCUGAC
rnacentral:lncRNA from 1 species